AAGUCGUAACAAGGUUUCCGUAGGUGAACCUGCGGAAGGAUCAUUGGGGGGAGAUGAGUUGGGUGUGAGUUGGAACGGAGAAUAAAUCACAUUAUAAACACUACAAUAUCUACAACUGCUGACAAUGGAUCUCUGGGCUCUU
rnacentral:misc_RNA from 1 species